GCAGUCAGAAUCAAGUCAUGUUCUCGCCCUUCAUCGCGCUUGGCACAUUUUCUUUCCGGACACAUCCAGUGGAUACUGUGCAGGCCUUCUCCAGCUAAUCUCAGGAAGGCUGAAAUUUUUAGACGGCCACCCUUCAUAUUUAGGGGGAUUCUGUUGUUGGAGUCACAAGGACCCUUAAGAAAAAAAUUCUUGGAGGCAGCUGGUCCCCACUGUCAUUGAAACCCAGAGGAGGGAACGCCAUGGAAAAAUAUCACAGUGAACACGGCUUCAAGACAAAGCAUGGACUAGCCAGAAAUACACAGACUGCUUGAAUAAAUGUCCAAUUACCCUCAGAAGACAGGCUGAAAUCACAGGCAAGGUCUCAUUCUGCAGGGCCAGGUGGACAUGAACUCAGGGAAGGUCAAUAAGAGAAAGAAUUCAAACUUCACCCACUCCCCCUCGGUGGCAAGAUCCCUGUGCUGCCUGGGCUUCCAUGAAGAAUCUGGCACAGAAUACUGAACUCGUGGACAAAGCCCUGUGUGCUCUGUGACUUCACAGUCUGCCCGGCAGACAGAGAAGCACGCCCCCAUCCCAUCUUAAAAGCUUGUUAAAGCUAAGUGCAGAUCCCAAGACUUUAAAGUGUUUAUCUGUGAGUCUCACUCAGCCCUAAAUUAAAGACUUUGUCCUCAAGCAACUGGAGAUACUGAAGGCAUUUCUUUGUAGGAAGACCCGAUUUUUGUUCCCCAGGGCUUUUUUAUAGGCAACAUACCUAUAAAGAGUCCAGAUUAUACACUUCGGAAAGCUUUCAAUGAUAAGAAGCAAUGUUUUUGAACUUCCCAUUAUGAACUAGAAAUAAUAUUUUCACUGAAACAAAAAUGCUAAAUUACUAAAGUACCUCCCUGGGGUUUUGAAUCUCGUGGAGUAUAAAUGACUGUUUUCCAUGAAUGAAGACCACAGAGGUGUCUCUUUAAAAUGCCUGUGAUGCAAAGCAGGAGGCAGGAUGCCAGCUGUCUGUCUAGACUUGGAGUUAUAGAAACUUUUAUUCAUGAGGUGGUGUGUGUGUGUGUGUAUAUGUGGGGUUGCUGACAAACAGACUAAACAGGGCUAAGACAAAUGUGGUUAUGGAUGGGACUCUGUGAUCUAGAUUAUAAAUCACUGAGCAUUUACAGAAUGAGUGAGGUUCAUUUUGGACAUGGCUUCGGAGGCAAACAGCCAGAAUUGUGUGGUGGGUUUAUUCUGCUACGCCUAUAUUGGGUAUUGGGGUUAGUGUCCUUAGUGGGGUUCUGUGGCUGAUUUGUGACCCCUAUUGGGAUUCAUGUGCUUAUCUCAGAAUUAGGGCGCUUGAUUCUGGUCUCAACACCACUGUAAAUGACCUUGGGGUCUCCUGCAGUUUUCGAUUGUGCUGACGAAUGAGUUACUAGCGUAAUGAGUAGUAUCUGAUUUUUGUGUGCUGGCUUUGCAUUGUUCUUGAAAAAAUAAAAAAAUAA